rnacentral:misc_RNA from 1 species
UACGGAGGUGGCAAGCGUUGUCCGGAAUUAUUGGGCGUAAAGCGCGCGCAGGCGGUCUGUUAAGGCUGAGGUGAAAGCCCACGGCUCAACCGUGGAGGGUCAUGGGAAACUGGGAGACUUGAGUACAGAAGAGGAGAGUGGAAUUCCACGUGUAGCGGUGAAAUGCGUAGAUAUGUGGAGGAACACCAGUGGCGAAGGCGACUCUUUGGCCUAUAACUGACGCUGAGGCGCGAAAGCGUGGGGAGCAAACAGG